rnacentral:lncRNA from 1 species
GGGGACUCCAGCAUGGCGGCGUCGAUCCCAAAGAGCAAGCUGAAGAGGGGCUCUUCCAGCACGAAGCCCCCCGAGCACCACGGCCCCUCCCCGCUGCCCGCUGUGCCCGGGGAGGAGGCGCAGCACAGCACGGGCAGGAAGCGUGAGGGCGCGCCGUCUCCCUCCUCGCUGGGUGCGGGGCCGGGGCAGAAGCCCACCUCGCUGACCUGCCGGUACGGGGGGCUGUCCUGCUCGGGGCGCGGCAGCUCGUGCAGCUUCAUCCACCACUUGCCGUGGGCCUGGGACAGGGUGAUGACGAAGUUGUUGAGCAGAGUGAACAUGCACAGGCUGGAGUCUGGGAAGAUGCAGGCGUCCGAAUCCACGGGGAAGACGCCGGAAGGGCAAUUGCUUUCUUGGCCGUCGCCAUCCGUCUGCUCCAUUAACCUGCUCUGCUGGUCCAGGGACACGCAGUAGAUGCCGCUGUGGGCGCAGAGGAUGUAGAGCUGUCUCGUCAGGGGCAGCAGCUCCACGUGCCACACCUGGUCGGGGCACCUGUACACUGCCUUCAGCACCUUGCCCUCCUGGUCGUAGAUGUAGACGAACUCGCUGCCGUUGCAGAGGUAGAUCUCGCUCUCGUGGCACAGCACGCGGGGUUUGCCGGCCACCAACCCCCCCACCGGGCAGCAGAAGCCGGCCAGGUAGUCCACCCGGUGCCCCACCUGCGCCAUGGUGCC